rnacentral:tRNA from 1 species
AGGCAGAGUAGUUUAAUAAAGAACAGUAAAUUGCAAAUUUAAGAGUACAAAAAUUAUGUCUCUGUCUU